CCCCAGACUCCUACGGGAGGCAGCAGUGGGGAAUAUUGGACAAUGGGGGAAACCCUGAUCCAGCGACGCCGCGUGAGUGAAGAAGUAUUUCGGUACGUAAAGCUCUCUCAGCAGGAAAGAAAAUGACGGUACCUGACUAAGAAGCCCCGGCUAACUACGUGCCAGCAGCCGCGGUAAUACGUAGGGGGCAAGCGUUAUCCGGAUUUACUGGGUGUAAAGGGAGCGUAGACGGCAGCGCAAGUCUGGAGUGAAAUGCCGGGGCCCAACCCCGGAACUGCUCUGGAAACUGUGAAGCUGGAGUGCAGGAGAGGUAAGCGGAAUUCCUGGUGUAGCGGUGAAAUGCGUAGAUAUCAGGAGGAACACCGGCGGCGAAGGCGGCUUGCUGGACUGUAACUGACGUUGAGGCUCGAAGGCGUGGGGAGCAAACAGGAUUAGAUCCCCGAGUAUC
rnacentral:rRNA from 1 species